rnacentral:lncRNA from 1 species
UUCUCCUUAAAAACUUCGAUGUUCUUGCUGGGCCUGUGGUUAGUUUGGUUUAGCCACUGUAUGCCUCAAUUCGGGUUAUAGAGACCAAAUCACCAACUGAUGAUCGCCAAUGGCUUAUGUAUUGGAUUCUCUACUUUAUGAUUACACUCUUUGAGCUCACUUUUGCCAAACUUAUUGAGUGAUCAUAAUACAUGCCUGAUUGGAGAAGACGAGCACUGCUACAGUGACAAUCAUGUGUCAAACAUUGAAGGUGGUUGCUAUGCUAAGUGCAUUGAUUUGUCAAAAGACAAGCAACCAGAUAUUUGGAAUUCUAUCAAAUUUGAGACUGGCCAAAUAAAGGAGGUCCUUCUAAGCUACACUCAAAGUUCAUUUGAUUAACCCUUCAGUCAAGAUCCGCCUUCUUUUGGCUAUCAGUUAAGACAUAGGAGAGGAAAAUCAGAAACUACUCGACAUUCUUUAUCUCUGGGCAUGCUGUGGCUCGACACUCUGCAGAGGGCAUCACAAAGAACCUGUGGGUUGCAAUCCUGCAACUGCUUCUUUAUCAGCUUAUUUCGCCUGAUUUUGUCAACCCAUUAUCCAAUCUUUUCUUAAGGCUUCCUUUUUCCCGAAGUGUUACAGAGAGGGAUUAAAAACAACUAUUAAAGGGUGAGGGUUCGAUGUUUGGAAUCAAUGUGGACAUCGAUUCACAAUUUGGGAAACGAUAUCUGGAAUCAAUGUGGACAUCGAUUCACAAUUUGGGAAACGAUGCCUGGAAUCAAUGUGGACAUCAAUUCACAAUUUGGGAAACGAUGUCCACAAUCAAUUUAGACAUCGAUUUACAAUUUGGGAAACGAUGUCUAAUAGUAAAAUGGACAUCGCUCCAUAAAAGGAAACGAUGUUUAUUAUAAUAAUGCACAUCGUUUAUUAUAUACUAAGGAAUAUAGAUUGAAUCUUAAAUAGUAGGAUAUAUGGAAAAUAUGUGUG